rnacentral:rRNA from 1 species
UUAAGGUUUCCGACGCCAGGUCAUUCCGCGUCGGGUUAGUCGGGGCCUAAGCCGAGGCCGAAAGGCGUAGGCGAUGGAUAGCCGGUCAACAUUCCGGCACCACUUUUGUGGAGCGAUGAGGGGACGCAGCGAGGUAGGCCAGCCCGCGAAUGGUAGUGCGGGUGUAUGCGGUGUCAGACGAUGAGAGAGGUAGGAAAAUCCGCCUUUUGAGUUGAGACCGUGUAACGAGCCCCUGAGGCAUAAGUGAGUUGAGCCUUGCUGCCAAGAAAAGCCUCUAAGCGAUGAAGCGAGAGUGCCCGUACCGCAAACCGACACUGGUAGACGGGUAGAGAAUACCAAGGUGAACGGGAAAACCUUCGUUAAGGAAUUAGGCAAGAUAGCCCCGUAACUUCGGGAGAAGGGGUGCCCCUGAGGGUGAGCGCAAGCGUAGCCCAUGGGGGUCGCAGUGACCAGGCUCUAGUGACUGGUUUACAAAACCACAGGUCUCUGCAAAGCCGAAAGGCGAUGUAUAGGGGCUGACGCCUGCCCAGUGCCGGAAGGUUAAGGGGAGAGGUUAGCGCAAGCGAAGCUUUGAACCGAAGCCCCGGUGAACGGCGGCCGUAACUAUAACGGUCCUAAGGUAGCGAAAUUCCUUGUCGGGUAAGUUCCGACCCGCACGAACGGCGUAACAACUAGAGCACUGUCUCAACGAAGGACCCGGCGAAAUUGAAAUGGCUGUGAAGAUGCGGCCUACCCGCAGCAGGACAAAAAGACCCCGUGGAGCUUUACUGCAAUUUGGCAUUGUGUUUGGGUAUAGUUUGUGUAGGAUAGGUGGGAGGCUAUGAAGCUGGAGCGCUAGCUUCGGUGGAGCCGACGGUGAAAUACCACCCUGACGAUACUUAGACCCUAACGUUCGACCUUUAUCAGGCGAGCGGACCGUGCCAGAUGGGCAGUUUGACUGGGGCGGUCGCCUCCUAAAAGGUAACGGAGGCGCCCAAAGGUUCCCUCAGGCUGAAUGGAAACCAGCCGCAGAGUGCAAAGGCAUAAGGGAGCUUGACUGCAAGACCAACGCGUCGAGCAGAGUCGAAAGACGGGCUUAGUGAUCCCACGGUACUGAGUGGAAGGGCCGUGGCUUACCGGAUAAAAGCUACCCCGGGGAUAACAGGCUGGUGAAGUCCAAGAGUUCACAUCGACGACUUCGCUCGGCACCUCGAUGUCGGCUCAUCGCAUCCUGGGGCUGUACAAGGUCCCAAGGGUCGGGCUGUUCGCCCGUUAAAGCGGUACGCGAGCUGGGUUCAGACCGUCGUGAGACAGGUCGGUCUCUAUCCGCUGUGGGCGUAAGGGAUUUGAGAGGAGCUGCCCCUAGUACGAGAGGACCGGGGUGGACAGACCGCUGGUGUGUCAGUUGUCGUGCCAACGGCAUUGCUGAGUAGCUACGUCUGGCAGAGAUAACCGCUGAAAGCAUCUAAGUGGGAAACUCGCCUCAAGAUGAGAUCCCUGUAAUCCCGUAAGGGAGUAAGGACGCAGGAAGACUACCUGCUUGAUAGGCGGCGUGUGUAAGCGCAGUAAUGUGCUCAGCUAAGCCGUACUAAUGUCCGAGGGCUUUUGCGC